rnacentral:rRNA from 1 species
UACGUAGGGUGCAGGCGUUGUCCGGAAUUAUUGGGCGUAAAGAGCUCGUAGGCGGUCUGUCGCGUCUGCUGUGAAAACUCGGGGCUUAACCCCGGGCCUGCAGUGGGUACGGGCAGACUAGAGUGCGGUAGGGGAGACUGGAAUUCCUGGUGUAGCGGUGAAAUGCGUAGAGAUCGUAAGGAAGACCAGUGGCGAAGGCGGGUCUCUGGACAGUUCCUGACACUGAGGCACGAAGGCCAGGGGAGCAAACGGG